rnacentral:rRNA from 1 species
UACGUAGGGGGCAAGCGUUACCCGGAUUUACUGGGCGUAAAGCGCGUGUAGGCGGCUGGUCAAGCGUGGUGUGAAAUCUCCGGGCUUAACUCGGAACGGUCAGCUGAUACUGCUUUGCUAGAGUGCAGAAGGGGCAAUCGGAAUUCUUGGUGUAGCGGUGAAAUGCGUAGAUAUCAAGAGGAACACCUGAGGUGAAGACGGGUUGCUGGGCUGACACUGACGCUGAGGCGCGAAAGCUAGGGUAGCAAACGGG